AGGUGACGGCUAAGAUGAAGUCCAUGACCGUCUCGAAUGACGACGAAUGGGCCAAUUUUGACGAAGAUUUUGCCAACGCCGCAUCUCCCAAAGGCCCGGCGGCAGCACCGGCCAUGCAACAGCAGGCUUCCACCGGGAGCUUCGAGGCCG
rnacentral:sRNA from 14 species